rnacentral:lncRNA from 1 species
AAGCAGCAAGCAGCUUCAGCCACGGAGGAGAUCAAAGCCAGGGUUAGACCCUCUGAGCUCUCAAGCCGCUGUAUCAAUCGCUGUCUUCAAUCAAUCAAAUAUGAAAUCCAAGCAAGGCGGAGACCCUGUACACCGUACGUAAUUUCCAGAAAACUUCAUCUGGAAUCGCUGCUCACAAGCUAUGUAAAUAACAGAGGGCAUCGACGCGAUCAGCCCGGCGGACUUCACUCCUCGGCGGUCCUCCGCUGCAGCAUCUCGUCCAUCCACCGAAUGAUAUCGGCGCCGAUCAUAUCUCGCUCGGGCUCGAAGAGCAGGUCAUGGAGAAAGCCCUCGUAGAGGCGGA